UUAGAUAUAUAAUUAUUUAUUUUUGAAUAAUAUUAAUUACUAUUUUGGCAGAAAAGUGCAAUAAAUUUAGAAUUUAUUUAUGUAAUUUAUUACAAAUAGUAUUGUAUUUAUUUGAAAUUAUUUUAUUUAUAAUUAGAAGAUUAUUAUUAAUUA
rnacentral:rRNA from 1 species